GAUGAACGCUGGCGGCGUGCCUAAUACAUGCAAGUCGAGCGAACGGACGAGAAGCUUGCUUUUCUGAUGUUAGCGGCGGACGGGUGAGUAACACGUGGAUAACCUACCUAUAAGACUGGGAUAACUUCGGGAAACCGGAGCUAAUACCGGAUAAUAUUUUGAACCGCAUGGUUCAAAAGUGAAAGACGGUCUUGCUGUCACUUAUAGAUGGAUCCGCGCUGCAUUAGCUAGUUGGUAAGGUAACGGCUUACCAAGGCAACGAUGCAUAGCCGACCUGAGAGGGUGAUCGGCCACACUGGAACUGAGACACGGUCCAGACUCCUACGGGAGGCAGCAGUAGGGAAUCUUCCGCAAUGGGCGAAAGCCUGACGGAGCAACGCCGCGUGAGUGAUGAAGGUCCUCGGAUCGUAAAACUCUGUUAUUAGGGAAGAACAUAUGUGUAAGUAACUGUGCACAUCUUGACGGUACCGAAUCAGAAAGCCACGGCUAACUACGU
rnacentral:rRNA from 1 species